GUUUUGAUGCCUAAACCUAAACAAGUCGAUCUAUUCCUAAACCUAACAAGGUAGUUUUAUUUUGAAAAUACUGGAGCGGAAAUUAACACGUGCGUCACUUGUUGCUGGACAUUCGUAGGAAAAAGCACGAAAAAUACUUUGUUGAAAGUCGU